rnacentral:rRNA from 1 species
ACGGCCAUACCAUGCAAAAUAUACCGGUUCUCGUUAGAUCACCGAAGUCAAGCAUCAUUGGGCGCGGUCAGUACUUGGGUGGGUGACCACCUGGGAACACCGCGUGCCGUU